CCCUAGUAUAUUUUGAUUUAUUAGAUUAGUAUGUUAAUGAAAAUUAAUGAUUUUGGCGGUUAAUUUUUAUUUAGAGGAGCUUGUUUUGGAAUAGAAUUAACUCUUUAUAUUUUAAAAAAUUGUGGUUUAUUCAUCUCCGUUAUUAAAUAAUUUAUUAAAAGAAAAUUGAUUUAUAAUUUCAGGUCAAGAUGUAGCAUUAUUAUAUUAAAAUUAGCUACAUUUUAUAAUAAAUUGGAUUAAGAAAAAUAUAAGUCUUGAGAAACUGAAUUUAAUUGUAAUAUUUAAUUAUAAUAUUAUUAUGAAUAGAAUUAAUUAAUGUA
rnacentral:rRNA from 1 species